CCACUUUUUCGGACGAAAAGCAACAAAAAAUUCGUCGAAAUAAGCAAAUUUUCAGGCAAAAUAUUAGCAAAUAUAUCGUAUUCACUCAUAUUAGCCGCGCAUGUGAACGCCACAGGGGGUAUGGGUCCAAUAGCUUAUGGAUCGACCAAUCAGGAUCGUUUUUCAAUCCCGUGUGGCCAGAGCCACUCAACGAUGGCUCUGGGUACGAGAUUGCCUUAGUACAGAUCAGUGGUUGGUACACCCCGUAGGCCACUCAUAUAACUAAACAGACAACGGCAAAAUGUUAUCUAUUUGUUAAACAGUGAAUCUAAUAAAUAUAUAAAAUAAAUAAAUAAAUAUUGUGUUCAAUCUUUGCAGGUUGACAAUGACGCGCGCAGUGAAACUGAGGAAUCUGCAGACAUUGACGACAAAAAUGGCGUCAUUCAAAAUGGCGUCGGAAAUGGAAAACACAAAAUACAAUGAUUCCAUUCCGUUCUUAUCGUUGCUGUGAAAGUUUUCGAAAAUAUGCGAGAGUUUUAGAGAACAUGUGAGAGUUUUAAAUGGAAUUCAUAGUGUAGGUAGAAUUAAGUUAAACGGUAUUUUAUGUCGUAUUUAUUGCAGGCGGAAAAUAACAAUUUCCUAAAAGCGUAAAAUAUAGAGAAUGAUAGUAUAAUUUCAGAAUUGAAAAAUGGCCUUUGAGCAUUCUGAUUGGCUCCCUCAGUUACUACUCUGAGGCAAUAGUUACUGCUCAGACUGCUCUGAGCAGAAACUAUUGGUUUUCCAAAAAAAAAUGGCUUAAAAUCAGAAGUAAAUUAUUUAUGCAAGUUAUAUUCAUAAAAUAAACGCGUAAAACUUUUUCAAUAGUGAAUUAGCUAAAAUAAUUUGCGGUCGCCUCAGGCUCGGUGAUUACAAGCCUAUAUCUUGUAAUCACCUCUAAUUGUUAAAUAGUAACCAGUAAUUAAGGGAAAGAUGGCGUCACAGAGAGAUAUAGCUGCAUAAGCUACUGCAAUAACACUGGAACAACUGGAUUAGAGCUAGAUGACUCGUAAAACUGGCAACAUAACUUUGGCUGGCCUAGCUCAAAGCCUCGAAAUAAUGAACAUUUAUAAAUUAUUUAGUCGUGUUGAUUUGGAUGAAAUACUGUAUAAGCAGUAGAAAUUCUGAUUCAACUGAUAAAUAUUAGGACCAAUCAAAUUAGGGAGUUUGUUUUAUGAUUGUUGUAAUAUUGUUACUAACAAGUUGCUAUAAACUAACAACCUUGCAGUAAAUCUGUUGACAGACCUGGAGAAUAUGUUAAUGUUCCUCGGAUCCUGAAUUUUUCUAUUUCAAAUGAUCUUCAUGCAAGUGCGCAAAAACAACAAGGUAUAUAUAUACCUGUCUCAUAUGACAGAUAAGGAAAUGUGAUAUAUAUAUAUAUAUAUAUAUAUAUAUAUAUAUAUAUAUAUAUAUAUAUAUAUAUAUAUAUAUAUAUAUAUAUAUAUAUAUAUAUAUAAUGAUAAAAAUUGUUCCUCAAUAUUCUUGCAAAUGUUCCUCCGGAUCCCGAGAUCACGUCUUUCCAGAUCUGUCUGUUGAGAGCAUAUCUAUGGUUGAGAGUUGUUAUUAUAGCAACUUUCUCAACAAGUUGGGAGUAAGAAGUUUAAACACAACCUGAUAUUGGUUUAUUUGAUUGGAAGAACUUUGAAUGUAACAAGUGUGCAGAGCUAACAAACGUGAAUGACAUGAUUAGUCUAAACGUGUUUAGUUUUAAGAUGUUUUUUCGUUUAUAAUUACAGUACUAUUCGUCUUCAUUGAUACUGGUUUAUAUAUCGAUCAUUGCUCACACACCGUAACAUUCCCACAAACUAUCGUGGCUUUUGAUGCAUUUGAUGCGCAGGAUUUAAAUAGUGCUAUCCAGUGAUUGGAAUGUUGCAUUGUUAUUUUUUAAUUGUUUUCAAAAUCCCCAGUGGCAUCGAGUCACUCAUUGUUGCCGUCCAUGGCGGAUCUGAUGAAUUUGUUACUGUGCACGCGGAAAGCAUGAAACUUCACAAAUUUUCGUACAGAUCCGAUUUCGUCCAGUCUCGUGUGAACGCACAGGCGAGAGAGUACGGUUACGAAUUGGUCCGGCUCCGUGUGAAAGGGUCUCAAGUUUAUUCCAAAUAAAAAUCGACAUCAGGUUGUGUUCCGCGUGCUACAGUACUGUAAUUAAAUUAAUGAAUAAUUUGUAAAAUAGUACACCAUGUAUAUAACUUGGCAUAUUUGAGUCGCUCCACUCCAGGCUAUGAACACUGAGGCUUUGUGAUUGGCUGAUUAUAACAGUAAAACUAUUUUUAUAGCCGUUUAUUGUCUUUUAGUAAAAGACAAUAAACGGCUAUAAAAAUCAUCUUUCUGAAGAACGAGUUAUAGACACUGUUAAGUUUUGUUUCAGAAAGCAAAUCACAAAACGUAGCUAAACGUGUUCAUAUCUGGUCAGCAAUGAAAAGGUGUGUUUAAUUAAUUCAAUAGUUUACAAUGUUAGAUCAUAUAGAUACUAAUGUUAUCUUUUGUGUAGUGUGUAGUUAGGAAACAUUCAAUGGCAUCGGAUAAAUAAUGCUCAUUGAUUUUUGCAUUGCAAUAAUUUGGAUGUAGUAUACAUUGAUGCAGAAAUAUUCAUGCGUAAUAAUAUAUAAUUGUUGAAGGGAUUUGUAAAUGCAGGGUGCGAUAAUUCGCGUACCGGAGGUACGCCAAAUGUAUGGUCUGGUACUUCUUUGUUUUUAGCCAAGUACCACGUAGGUACGCGGAAAUUUACUAUUGGCGUACCUACAUUUUCCUUCUAGCAAUAACUAGCAAACCUACCAAAGUAUUCAAAACCGUGAAGAACUUUAGCUGUACAAAUAGCUGUACAUGUAAAUUCCACGCAUCCGACAUAUUUUGGGAUGAAAAAAGCCAAUCUUUGUGCUUGAUCAAAAAAUUUAUCGUCAGGAGCGUAGGAACCGGGGGGGGGGGGCAGGCCCCCAAGUUUUGCCAAUUGCCCUUUUUCCGGGAGCAAAGUGCCCUUUUCUUCGGUGAAAAAUGUCAUUAAGAUUGCAUUUUUUGGCCCAA